UCGUGCUAAGCGGGGAGGUAGCGGUGCCCUAUACUCGCAAUCCGCUAUAGCGAGGCCGAAUUCCCACCCGAGGUGGCAAGGUCUCAAGGCCUGCCUCAUGUGAGUGGUGUUGACAUUCAGGUCCUGCGCAACGAGAACCAGUGAACCCUGUCAGGUCCGGAAGGAAGCAGCAGUAAGCUGAUCAUCUCGUGUGCCGCGGGAGUGCCUGGAUAGAGCCACAACCAUGAGUAACGCUUGGGGCCUCGCCAUCGAAGGUGGGUGCACGG
rfam:Halobacillus halophilus DSM 2266 complete genome